AAAUUGAAGAGUUUGAUCAUGGCUCAGAUUGAACGCUGGCGGCAGGCCUAACACAUGCAAGUCGAACGGUAACAGGAAGCAGCUUGCUGCUUUGCUGACGAGUGGCGGACGGGUGAGUAAUGUCUGGGAAACUGCCUGAUGGAGGGGGAUAACUACUGGAAACGGUGGCUAAUACCGCAUAACGUCGCAAGACCAAAGAGGGGGACCUUCGGGCCUCUUGCCAUCAGAUGUGCCCAGAUGGGAUUAGCUUGUUGGUGAGGUAACGGCUCACCAAGGCGACGAUCCCUAGCUGGUCUGAGAGGAUGACCAGCCACACUGGAACUGAGACACGGUCCAGACUCCUACGGGAGGCAGCAGUGGGGAAUAUUGCACAAUGGGCGCA
rnacentral:rRNA from 1 species